rnacentral:lncRNA from 10 species
AUGACUUCAAGCUUUUUGACUUGGGUGGGUAGUGUGGUAUUAAGAAAUACAGGGAAUAAAAGAAUAGGCUACGUGAACAGGAUUGGAAAAUGAUUUAUUGCAUUUGACAUGGUGAGUUUACCACACUCAAUUAUUCUUAUAUAUGUCUUAAAAUUAUACUGCAAAUCUCAAAGGAGGGGAGUGCUACGGAGAUCAACAUCAUCGUGAUACUAUGCAUAACUACUGAAAACUAAUGUAAUUUAGAUGAAUCUUCAGACUGAAUGCAAAAAAUAUUUAGCCUCACUGCAAAAUCAGAAAAAGUAGCAUAAAAUUUUAAUGAGAGCCAGGUAUGGUGACUCACCCCUGUAAUCCCAACACUUUGGGAGGCUAAGGUGGGAGGACUGUUUGAACCCAGGAGUUAAGACCAGCCUAAGCAACAUAGUGCGACCCUGUCUCUACAAAAAAUUUAAAAAUUAGCCAAGCAUGGUGGCUAAUCAGGAGGCUGAGGUGGGAGGAUCACUUGAGCUGGAGAGGUUAAGGCUGCCGUGAGUCAUGAUUGCACCACUGCACUCCAGCCUGGGCAACAGAGUGAGCUCUGUCCCAAAAAAGAAAACUUUAAUGAGAAAAUUUACACUGUUUCUUGUUCAUUUUUUAAAAAUUAUAUACAUUUAAUGAAGCGAUUUUUUAAAUGAAAAUGUAUAACCUAAAUCAAUGGUAUUUUUGAAUCAAGAAUAUUUGACAAUUAAACAAAUAUAUAUCCAUCAUCCACUAUUUGCAAGACAAUGUGGAAAUAUUUAGCCUAAAGAACAAAAACCUAAGAAUCAUAACAAUCAUUGACAUUAAGCAACUGAAAGGUUGAUAAGUGAACUAUUUCUUCAUCAUUCAAUCUAUCCAGAAGUGGAAUAAGCUGUAUCAUUAAAUAACAAGCAUUCCAGCUCCAGAAGUAUUUAAGAGGCCAAUUGAUCAUCUGAUGGAGAUAUAAAUAAUAAUGCUAACAUUUAUUGGGUAUUUACUCUUGCCAGGUAUUAUGCUAUGUACUUUAUAUUAUCUCAUUAGCUAUUUCACACUAUUCCUAAGAAGUAAGAACUAUUAUCACCACAUAACAGAUGGUAAAAAAUUUACACAGAUGUAGAAUGAAUCUCUACAUUGGUUGGAAGGUUGAAAUACCUUCUAAUGGCUAUCUGACUUUAUGAUAUUAAUAUAAAACCUGAAAUUAAAAGCAUUAUUUAUUUUAUGCAUUGUUCAAAAAGCAAGCAAUACCAUUUCCUAGUAAUUCAUAUGUAACACUGUGAUGUUCAUGAAAAUAUA